CACUCAAAUUCAAACUCAAUAGUUACCAACAAUAGGAUACCGCCAUAUCCAAUCACAGGAGGAUGCUUCUCAACUAAAAUUAAACAUGCUCUAAGCUAUUAAACAAGGGGAAAGAGGAAAAGGAAGGGAAGGGCAAGGAGGGGGGGGGGGGUUUGUGUGUUGUGGUGUGGUGGUGGGGGGUUGUGUUGUGUUGUGGAGUUGGGGGAGGAAAUGUUAACAAUUCAAAUUUGGAACAUCAUAACUUUCGAAAUAUGUAAUAUAAAGAAGAAAUGUAUAGAAUUUCCAAAAAAGGCCAAAAAUAAUUUACAACUAGAAAUCAAAUCUUCAAAGUCAUUGCAUAAGCAUAUUAAAUUAUCAACUAUCACAAGAGUGAUUAGUGAUUACAGGGAAAGACAACUGCAACAAUUAGGCUAAUGCAUGUUUUGUACGGGCAGGGCAUGAAUAUACUUCUUGCUGCCAAACAAAAAAGAGAUUAGAUGGCUCAGACAGGUUGAAAAUAAAAAACAGGUUAGGGAAAUGAACAAGCCUUGAAAUCUUCUGAUGUUAGCAAGAUUGAAGCCAAAAUGGUUCCACUGGUAUUACAACCAAUUCCAUGCUAAGCAAAAACUCUUGACCUGGAUCAACUAAUAAAUGUUAAAACCACACAAAAAAUUCUUCAAUUAUUUAAAAAAGGAUGCCAUAUCAUAUGAUUGAAAGGACAAUCCCAACCAAUAAUGUCCUCAAGCAAGGACAAAAAUACAUACACACAAUACAUUUUCCCGCAUCAGAAUGUGAGCACGCUAGAUUUUAUUCAUCAAUAUUUGUUUCUAUAAGAACAAGGAUUAAUGAUGUCUGAAACUUGAAGGCACAUCACAUUUCAUCUCAUAGAUCAAGAAGAUAAAACUUUUUUAUUAUUUUUUUUUAUGUUAAAUUUAGAUGGAAAACAAUGAGAAUCAAACCGCAUCA
rnacentral:misc_RNA from 1 species